rnacentral:rRNA from 1 species
CAGUAGCCGCGGGAACACCAGCAGCCCAAGUGGUGGUCGCGUUUAUUGGGCCUAAAGCGCUCGUAGCCUGGCCGGUAAGUUCCCCGUGAAACCAGGUCGCCCAACGAUUCGGCUUGCGGGGAAUACUGUCGGUCUUGGGGCCGGGAGACGCCGAGGGUACUCCGGGGGUAGCGGUGAAAUGCUGUAAUCCUCGGGGGACUACCAGUGGCGGAGGCGCUCGGCGAUAACGGGCCUGACGGUGAGGGGCGAAAGCUGGGGGCGCGAACGGGAUUAGAUACCCGAGUAGUCCCUGUCUCUUAUA